UACGUAGGGUGCAAGCGUUAAUCGGAAUUACUGGGCGUAAAGCGUGCGCAGGCGGUUAUAUAAGUCAGCUGUGAAAUCCCCGGGCUCAACCUGGGAACUGCAGUUGAGACUGUAUGGCUAGAGUGUGUCAGAGGGGGGUAGAAUUCCACGUGUAGCAGUGAAAUGCGUAGAUAUGUGGAGGAAUACCGAUGGCGAAGGCAGCCCCCUGGGUCGAUACUGACGCUCAUGCACGAAAGCGUGGGGAGCAAACAGG
rnacentral:rRNA from 1 species